GAUUAACGCUGGCGGCGUGCAUAACACAUGCAAGUCGAACGAUGAAACUUAAAAGAUUUCUGCUGAAUGAACUUAAGUGGAUUAGUGGCGUACUGGUGAGUAACGCGUGAGUAACCUGCCUUACACAAGGGGAUAGGCUAUGGAAACGAGGAAUAAUACCCUAUGAAACUAUCACUUCGCAUGAAGCGAUAUUCAACGUGUUAGCGGUGUAAGAUGGACUUGCGUCUGAUGAGCUAGGUGGUGAGAAAAAAGCCCACCCAGGCAAAGAUCAGUAGCCGGCUUGAGAGCGUGUUCCGGCACCUUGCGACUGGCACCAGGCCCGAACACCUACGGGAGGCAGCAGUGGGGAAUCUUGCAUAACGCGUGAAAGACUGAGGCCGCGGGGCCGUGAGAUUUAGUAGGCCUUGAGGUUGGAAAAAUCUUUUGUAUAGGAAGAAAAUGACAGUACUAUAAGAAUAAGGUCCGGCUAAUUACGUG
rnacentral:rRNA from 1 species